AAUAGAUACCCGGGUAGUCCACGCCGUAAACGAUGUCGACUUGGAGGUUGUUCCCUUGAGGAGCGGCUUCCGGAGCUAACGCGUUAAGUCGACCGCCUGGGGAGUACGGCCGCAAGGUUAAAACUCAAAUGAAUUGACGGGGGCCCGCACAAGCGGUGGAGCAUGUGGUUUAAUUCGAUGCAACGCGAAGAACCUUACCUACUCUUGACAUCCACGGAACUUAGCAGAGAUGCUUUGGUGCCUUCGGGAACCGUGAGACAGGUGCUGCAUGGCUGUCGUCAGCUCGUGUUGUGAAAUGUUGGGUUAAGUCCCGCAACGAGCGCAACCCUUAUCCUUUGUUGCCAGCGGUUAGGCCGGGAACUCAAAGGAGACUGCCAGUGAUAAACUGGAGGAAGGUGGGGAUGACGUCAAGUCAUCAUGGCCCUUACGAGUAGGGCUACACACGUGCUACAAUGGCGCAUACAAAGAGAAGCGACCUCGCGAGAGCAAGCGGACCUCAUAAAGUGCGUCGUAGUCCGGAUUGGAGU
rnacentral:rRNA from 1 species